GUAAUGAAUUUCCCCAGUCCAACUUAUUGAAUAAUCAUUGUCCUGAAGUAGUUAAUGGAUUUGAGUUACAGCUCGGCAAAUUCCACAAAGAAAAUAAAACAGCACAAGGUCCCCACAGAGCGACGGGAGGCAGGAAAGGGGAAGUCCAUGCCACCAGAGGAAUAGUUUCAUUGAACGCUUGAUCUUUGAGCCGAACUCAGAAGGAGCCACCCCUGUAAAGGUCUAUAGGCUGAUUAAACUUGAUGGGUUCUGGAGAUGCCGAGGAAGAGAGGCAGCAUCACCUACUUGCCUGGACUCUAGAUGGGCAGCUGAUCAUCUUGGACAGACUGCUGGAUGCUGUACCCAGGGUGGUCACUCCCAGACACCAUAGAAAAUGGUAUGUGUCCUCCCUUCUCUCUGCAGGGGUCUCUGUGGGUCAUGGAAUGGCUUUCUUCGGUUCAGUAUUUCAUGGGCAUCUGCAUGUCUCUGCCAGUCUCACAGAUACAAGCCAUGAUCUCUGCUUUCAGGAGCUUUCGAGAGAGAGGGUAUUGGCCUGUGCCUAGAGCACUCUGAUCUCAACUUGACAGGUGCCUCCACAGACAUAUACCAAGUUCUGUGUCAACACAGAGAUCCACAUGAUGAAAUCAGAGGUCUUUUCUGAAGAGGCAGCAUAGAGAAUGGCAUUCCAGGGAGAUGGAAGAGCACCUAUACAUAUAAACACGUAAAGAAUGUUUCUGACCAG
rnacentral:lncRNA from 10 species